GCUAACGUAGCUUAAUUUUAAAGCAUGGCACUGAAGAUGCUAAGAUGAAAAUUAAACUUUUUUCCGCAAGCA
rnacentral:tRNA from 1 species